CCGCUCGUGGUCUAGUUGGUUAUGGCAUCCGGCUGUAAAUGGAAUAUUGUAAACCGGGUUGUCGCUGGUUCGAUUCCAGCCGAGCGGA